rnacentral:rRNA from 1 species
GUAGAGUGGCGGACGGGUGAGUAAUGCAUGAGAAUCUGCCUGGCAGAGGGGGAUAACCCGGGGAAACUCGGGCUAAUACCGCAUACGCCCUACGGGGGAAAGGGGGCUGAGAGGCUCUCGUUGUCAGAUGAGCUCAUGUCCGAUUAGCUAGUUGGUGGGGUAAGGGCCUACCAAGGCGACGAUCGGUAGCUGGUCUGAGAGGAUGGCCAGCCACACUGGGACUGAGACACGGCCCAGACUCCUACGGGAGGCAGCAGUGGGGAAUAUUGGACAAUGGGCGCAAGCCUGAUCCAGCGAUGCCGCGUGGGUGAAGACGGCCUGCGGGUUGUAAAGCCCUUUCGAUGGGGAAGAAAGGCCGGCGGUGAAGAGCUGCGGGUGUUGACGUUACCCAUAGAAGAAGCACCGGCUAACUCCGUGCUAGCAGCCGCGGUAAUACGGAGGGUGCGAGCG